UACGUAGGGUGCGAGCGUUAAUCGGAAUUACUGGGCGUAAAGGGCACGCAGGUGGUACGUUAAGUCAGAUGUGAAAUCCCCGGGCUUAACCCGGGAACGGCAUUUGAAACUGGGGUACUGGAGUCCUGUAGAGGGGGGUGGAAUUCCAGGUGUAGCGGUGAAAUGCGUAGAGAUCUGGAGGAAUACCGGUGGCGAAGGCGGCCCCCUGGACAGAGACUGACGCUGAGGUGCGAAAGCGUGGGGAGCAAACAGG
rnacentral:rRNA from 1 species